CCGCCACUGUUGCUAGUGUGCAACUCUGCUGCGUGCACCCUGGAAUUGCACUUUAGCAAUGGUGACGG
rnacentral:pre_miRNA from 13 species